rnacentral:rRNA from 1 species
AACGAACGCUGGCGGCGUGCCUAACACAUGCAAGUCGUGCGAGAAAGUUCCUUCGGGAGCGAGUAAAGCGGCGCACGGGUGAGUAACACGUAGGUAACCUGCCCCCCAGUCUGGAACAACUAGAGGAAACUCUAGCUAAUGCCGGAUGAGACCACGAUCCCUUCGGGGUUGCGGCCAAAGAUGGCCUCUACUUGUAAGCUAUCGCUGAGGGAUGGGCCUGCGGGCCAUUAGCUUGUUGGUGAGGUAACGGCUCACCAAGGCUGUGAUGGCUAGCUGGUCUGAGAGGAUGACCAGCCACACUGGGACUGAGACACGGCCCAGCUCCUACGGGAGGCAGCAGGUGGGGAAUAUUGCGCAAUGGGACGAAGCCUGACGC